UUUUCUAUUUUUGUGUUGCGUACGCUGUAAUUAGCAGAAAUAAAAUAAAUAAAAUUGCUUGAAACAUUUUAGUUUUUAUGUAAUGAGUCAUAAAACUAUAUGUACAUAGAACUUUCAUUUUCUAAAAUAACUGACAAAAAUACAAACUUUCUUGAUAUUGUAAUUUUUAGAGAUACACCUGUAUAAGCAAUAUGAUAAAGUGGGAUUGAGAAGUAACAUCUGAGUCUAUGAUGCUCCAUAAAUCUCACUGGCAAAGCUGCACAGGGGUGGGCACUCAGGAGCGUGUGCCACUGAGCAGCUGAUGCACGUUUGGAUUUGUCCUGCAUGAUCCAGCCCCCUUUUUGAGAAUGGUCUUGCAAGUUAUUAUAUGGCUUGCAGUGUGAAACCUUACCACUAGAUGGCCUCAAACACUCCAUUUGGCUGCUUUAAUAUUUUCUCAAUCUGUCUCCUUAAAUUUGUUGUUAUCUUCUUUGUUUCCAAAUAUGCUUGUUUGAGAUGAGCCAGUCAUGCAAAGAAUUAAAUGGCAACAUAAGCAUACGUUAUAAAGAGUAUAAAUAGACUUCACAGUGAUCUAUACAGUCAUACACAGGGUUUUAAUGUGCUGCAUCAUGCAAAGUAGGUCAAAGUGUCACUGAUGACUGAUUCGAAGUUUUUGAUACAUGCCCUGACAAGCAAGAUUACAUUUAAAGGAGUUUGAUUUUUAUUUAUUUUUUUAAAUCUUGCUGCUAGAAAGUGUCCAUGUUCACUGCAGCUCCCAGUCUGAUGCUGUAUGAUUUUGUCCACUUUCCAGACAACUCAUCUCAAACAAGUCGAAUCCUUCCCUCUUGCCUGCACUCCGUCACUGUUCAACACCUCUUGUAUUUUUGCCGUUUCUUCAGCUCCCACUUCACCUCAUAACACCUGUGGUUUAUCUUUCAGCUCUUUAGAGAUGUUCGAUAGUGUUCAUCUGCAACCAAGUUCACAAUUUCAAGGACUGUGCCUUUAUGGAUGAGAAGUGGACCCCUGACUCUCUGGGUUUGUUCUUGAAAGGGGCAGUUGCUUCAUCGCAUGACCUCUGAAUAUUGGAGAGAUGUCUUCAUCCUGAGACUGUGAGGACAGCCAUACGCUGCCGUCUGCUUCUGUGAAUAUGAACUGGACCAAAAAGCAUCUGGCCAACAGGACCACAUGUAAAAUAUAACACUGGUUUUCUUGACACAAACUGUCUCAACACAAAAACAGUUUGGACAACAAUAACCCCGAAGACGCCGUCAGGCUCCAUUCCCCCGUUUCCAUGGGUCAUUUUAGCAUUAUGGGACAGAAGCUUGAAAGACUCUCCUUCCUCCCAGAGGAAAUGUAGUCUGGUUAUUCUGAAGCACAAGUGGCUUUGCAAGUACUUUGUCCCUUUAUAUUAAUACUGUAGAGUAACAAUGUAUAUUGACACACAGUUUAGCUCAGAUGUGUUUUGUGCGUUAUUGCUCAGAGAAGAAUUGCUCAUCCAGUCCUGCAGUUCAGAUUGUAAUAAUUGAUUGCUAUUGCUAGCAAAGUUGACAGACAUUGUCCAGAUUUUGUUCCAUAGGACAUGAGAAAGACAUUUAGCAACUCUUUGGUGUCUGUUGCACUGCACGCUGUAUGUACACCUUAAAUAUUAUAUAGUUUAGUUUAUGCCCAUUCAUUGGCACACGUGUGUGUGGCUCUUUGUCUUAUUGAUCGAAAGAAGGAAGGCAUAAACUUAAUUGUUUGUUUUUUUUACUAUAGUGAAAUUAGUGGUGACACUAUUUUCAGACUAAGUAAUAAAUCCAUCUGUUGUUCUCUUUGGUCAAAUAAAUCAUAUACAGCCAUGUUUUAAA